UGUGCUUGCUUUGGCAUCAUAUAGUAUUCUAUAAAUGAAACAGAGAAGAUAAGCAUGGCUUCUGUGCAAGAAUGACAUGAAAAUUUGUGAACUGUUUCACAAUUAU
ensembl:snRNA LOC120093916 U6 spliceosomal RNA